UGGGGAAUAUUGGACAAUGGGGGGAACCCUGAUCCAGCCAUGCCGCGUGUGUGAAGAAGGCCUUAUGGUUGUAAAGCACUUUAAGCGAGGAGGAGGGUACUGGUAUUAAUACUACCAGCUACUGGACGUUACUCGCAGAAUAAGCACCGGCUAACUCUGUGCCAGCAGCCGCGGUAAUACAGAGGGUGCGAGCGUUAAUCGGAUUUACUGGGCGUAAAGCGUGCGUAGGCGGCUAAUUGAGUCGGAUGUGAAAUCCCCGAGCUUAACUUGGGAAUUGCAUUCGAUACUGGUUAGCUAGAGUGUGGGAGAGGAUGGUAGACUUCCAGGUGUAGCGGUGAAAUGCGUAGAGAUCUGGAGGAAUACCGAUGGCGAAGGCAGCCAUCUGGCCUAACACUGACGCUGAGGUACGAAAGCAUGGGGAGCAAACAGG
rnacentral:rRNA from 1 species